rnacentral:tRNA from 1 species
AGAGUGGUUGAAUGCACUGGUCUUGAAAACCAGCAUACCUGCAAGGGUAUCGGGGGUUCGAAUCCCCCUCUCUCCGCCA